GGAAAUAUCACUGGACUAUCACUUUCAGCUGCAACUGAAAAACUGAAAAACCACCCAAACUGGUGGUUGUUUUGGUUGAAUUUUACUCAAGAUGAUCCAACUUAACCUUUGGAGAAAAAGCUUAGGUCAACGAUUAGUCAGCAGCUCGUUUCUGCCAAAUGUGAACUAAAGAACCCAAAGCCGUGUUGGGUUGGAAAGAGCCAGGGCGACCCAGGACGCGAGGGUCCUGCCGAGGUCAGCUCAGGACUCCGGGCGGGUUUUCGCCCGACUCUGCCGACCCCGGCUGCCCACGGCUUAAGCGGGGCGAACUGAUGAGCGAAACUCUCCGUGGGUUGGGGACACCGCCCACCAUUUCCGAAACGCCCCGACAAGAAAGCCUGGCUCGACGGGGCUCCAGAGGAACACGACCGCACGUCGCAGGGAUGCUGGACGUUCCGGACGGGCACUGCUCGCUUCGAUGGAGGUCCCAGAGGAAACCGGGGGGCGGGUUUGCCUGGAAGUCCCUCAGGGUGGAGACAACGGCUUACCUGUCUGGACUCCCUAACGUGCCGCACAUGCCCCGCACCUUGUGGAAGUUCCCAGACGGGGGCGAGGGGGGCGGUGGUCAGAUCCAAGCCGCAGUUGUCACUUACACCCCAGCUGCGGCAACUCUGGAUUCCUAACCCACUGUGCCUGGCCAGAGAUUGAACCUGUCUCUGCAGAGACACCGCCGACCCCGUUGCACCAUGGGGGGGAGCCCCACAUGGUCUCGUUUUGAAUCAAACAUUCACUAAGAAGCAGGCAGCAUCAGGCAUCAAGCCACAGGAAGAGGAUGAGAACACAUGACACCAUGGACCACACGCACGGGCACUUUCCCCAUCGUGUCCCCCGCCCCCCCGGUUCCCACUGGACUCCGACCCGGAAGCUCUUCUCCUGAGUGUUCCUACCCCUCCCCCCCUUCUCCUCCCACUUUUUAAAGUUUUACUGAAGUGCCGCUGGUUUACAGUUGUAAGGAUUCCUGCCCCUUCUUUUCUUCUCUUCUGCUGCUCUGAGGUCAGAGAAAUGGGUUGAAGGAAUUUGCAGCGGGAAAAGCCAGGGGCCCGGUGUCUCAAGCCUGGAUCGCAAACCUCAGAAUCGGCCAGGACCACGGGGCGUGGGCUCCUCUGUCUCCGUCACCCCUUUGCUCCCCUGCCCCCCAUGGGUGAGGGCCUUUGCGCAAGGCCACGCUGUCAUCAGGCCGUAAGAGGAAGAGAAUAUAAGGAGAAGAAUGUGUAUCUGUGUGUGACCGAGGCCCUUCACUGUCCAGCAGGAAGGGGCACAACCUUGUAAAUCAACUAUACUGUAAUAAAAAAUUUAAAGAAA
rnacentral:lncRNA from 1 species